UGCUCACUUCGGCAGCACAGAUACAAAAAUUGAAUGAUACAGAGGAUCAGCAUGCCCCUUGCUUGAGGAUGACAUGCAAAUUUGUAAAGAAAGGUGAAGUUCCU